rnacentral:rRNA from 1 species
UAGGGAAUCUUCCACAAUGGACGCAAGUCUGAUGGAGCAACGCCGCGUGAGUGAAGAAGGUUUUCGGAUCGUAAAGCUCUGUUGUUGGUGAAGAAGGAUAGAGGCAGUAACUGGUCUUUAUUUGACGGUAAUCAACCAGAAAGUCACGGCUAACUACGUGCCAGCAGCCGCGGUAAUACGUAGGUGGCAAGCGUUGUCCGGAUUUAUUGGGCGUAAAGCGAGCGCAGGCGGAAUGAUAAGUCUGAUGUGAAAGCCCACGGCUCAACCGUGGAACUGCAUCGGAAACUGUCAUUCUUGAGUGCAGAAGAGGAGAGUGGAACUCCAUGUGUAGCGGUGGAAUGCGUAGAUAUAUGGAAGAACACCAGUGGCGAAGGCGGCUCUCUGGUCUGCAACUGACGCUGAGGCUCGAAAGCAUGGGUAGCGAACAGGAUUAGAUACCCUGGUAGUCCAUGCCGUAAACGAUGAGCGCUAGGUGUUGGGGACUUUCCGGUCCUCAGUGCCGCAGCAAACGCAUUAAGCGCUCCGCCUGGGGAGUACGACCGCAAGGUUGAAACGUCUAAAGUGAA